GGUAAGCCUGGGAAACUGGGUCUAAUACCGAAUAUGACCACUUCUUGGAUGGGUGGUGGAAAGCUUUUGCGGUAUGGGAUGAGCUCGCGGCCUAUCAGCUUGUUGUGGGGUAAUGGCCUACCAAGGCGUCGACGGGUAGUCGGCCUGAGAGGGUGUACGGCCACAUUGGGACUGAGAUACGGCCCAGACUCCUACGGGAGGCAGCAGUGGGGAAUAUUGCACAAUGGGCGCAAGCCUGAUGCAGCGACGCCGCGUGGGGGAUGACGGCCUUCGGGUUGUAAACUCCUUUCGCAACCGACGAAGCUUUUGUGACGUAGGUUGAGAAGAAGCACCGGCUAACUACGUGCCAGCAGCCGCGGUAAUACGUAGGGUGCGAGCGUUGUCCGGAAUUACUGGGCGUAAAGAGCUCGUAGGUGGUUUGUCGCGUCGUUUGUGGAAUACCGCAGCUUAACUGCGGGGUUGCAGGCGAUACGGGCAUAACUUGAGUGCUGUAGGGGAGACUGGAAUUCCUGGUGUAGCGGUGGAAUGCGCAGAUAUCAG
rnacentral:rRNA from 1 species